CCUACGGGGUGCAGCAGUGAGGAAUAUUGGUCAAUGGCCGAGAGGCUGAACCAGCCAAGUCGCGUGAGGGAAGACGGCCCUAUGGGUUGUAAACCUCUUUUGUCGGGGAGUAAAACGAGUCACGUGUGACUCUUUGAGAGUACCCGAAGAAAAAGCAUCGGCUAACUCCGUGCCAGCAGCCGCGGUAAUACGGAGGAUGCGAGCGUUAUCCGGAUUUAUUGGGUUUAAAGGGUGCGCAGGCGGAGGUGCAAGUCAGCGGUCAAAUUGGGGGGCUCAACCCCGUACUGCCGUUGAAACUGGAUGCCUUGAGUGCGCGAGAGGUAUGCGGAAUGCGUGGUGUAGCGGUGAAAUGCAUAGAUAUCACGCAGAACUCCGAUUGCGAAGGCAGCAUACCGGCGCGCAACUGACGCUCAUGCACGAAAGCGUGGGUAUCGAACAGGAUUAGAUACCCGAGUAGUC
rnacentral:rRNA from 1 species